AACGAACGCUGGCGGCAUGCCUAACACAUGCAAGUCGAACGAAGCCUUCGGGCUUAGUGGCGCACGGGUGCGUAACGCGUGGGAAUCUGCCCUUGGGUUCGGAAUAACAGUUAGAAAUGACUGCUAAUACCGGAUGAUGUCUUCGGACCAAAGAUUUAUCGCCCAAGGAUUAGCCCGAGUAGGAAUAGGUAGUUGGUGGGGUAAUGGCCCACCAAGACGGCGAUACUUAGCUGGUCUGGGAGGAUGAUCAGCCACACUGGGACUGGGACACGGCCCAGAAUCCAACGGGAGGAAGAAGUGGGGAAUAUUGGACAAUGGGCGAAAGCCUGAUCCAGAAAUGCCGCGUGAGUGAUGAAGGCAUUAGGUUUGUAAAGCACUUUUACCAGGGAUGAUAAUGACAGUACCUGGAGAAUAAGCUCCGGCUAACUCCGUGCCAGCCGCCGCAGUAAGAC
rnacentral:rRNA from 1 species